UAGGGAAUAUUGGACAAUGGGUGAGAGCCUGAUCCAGCCAUGCCGCGUGCAGGAAGAAGGCGUUAUGCGUUGUAAACUGCUUUUUGCCAGGGGAUAAAAAGACCGUGCGCGGUUAAUUGAAGGUACCUGGUGAAUAAGCCACGGCUAACUACGUGCCAGCAGCCGCGGUAAUACGUAGGUGGCAAGCGUUGUCCGGAUUUAUUGGGUUUAAAGGGUGCGUAGGUGGCCCUGUAAGUCAGUAGUGAAAUAUCUCAGCUUAACUGAGAGGGUGCCAUUGAUACUGCAGGGCUUGAGUACAGAUGAGGUAGGCGGAAUUGACGGUGUAGCGGUGAAAUGCAUAGAUAUCGUCAAGAACACCGAUAGCGAAGGCAGCUUACCAAGCUGUAACUGACACUGAGGCACGAAAGUGUGGGGAUCAAACAGGAUUAGAUACCCGGGUAGUCCCUGAGCGGGCUGGCAAGGCGCAU
rnacentral:rRNA from 1 species